UCCCUUGUGGCUCAGUGGUAAAGAACCUACCUGCAAUGCAGGAGACACAGGUUCAAUCCCUGGAUUGGGAA
rnacentral:tRNA from 1 species